rnacentral:rRNA from 1 species
CYUGAGUUUMKCMCGAUYACCCACUUCGGUGGGGGAUUAGUGGCGAACGGGUGAGUAACACGUGGGCAAUCUGCCCUGCACUCUGGGACAAGCCCUGGAAACGGGGUCUAAUACCGGAUACGACCACUUCAGGCAUCUGAUGGUGGUGGAAAGCUCCGGCGGUGCAGGAUGAGCCCGCGGCCUAUCAGCUUGUUGGUGAGGUAACGGCUCACCAAGGCGACGACGGGUAGCCGGCCUGAGAGGGCGACCGGCCACACUGGGACUGAGACACGGCCCAGACUCCUACGGGAGGCAGCAGUGGGGAAUAUUGCACAAUGGGCGAAAGCCUGAUGCAGCGACGCCUCGUGAGGGAUGACGGCCUUCGGGUUGUAAACCUCUUUCAGCAGGGAAGAAGCGAAAGUGACGGUACCUGCAGAAGAAGCGCCGGCUAACUACGUGCCAGCAGCCGCGGUAAUACGUAGGGCGCAAGCGUUGUCCGGAAUUAUUGGGCGUWAAGAGCUCGUAGGCCGGUUGUCGAGUYGGAAGUUAAAGCCCGGGGCUUAACCCCAGGUCUGCACUYUUACCGGUASGSCAGAGUUUCGUAUGGGACAAUCGAAUUUCUGGUCUAGCCCGUUAAAUGCGCCCAUAUCUGGGGUAACCCCCGGGGUUUAAGUGCAGAUCUGKGGAGCCUAUCCAMAAUCUUUUUAGCC